rnacentral:rRNA from 1 species
GACGAACGCUGGCGGCGUGCUUAACACAUGCAAGUCGAACGGAAAGGCCCUGCUUUUGUGGGGUGCUCGAGUGGCGAACGGGUGAGUAACACGUGAGUAACCUGCCCUUGACUUUGGGAUAACUUCAGGAAACUGGGGCUAAUACCGGAUAGGAGCUCCUGCUGCAUGGUGGGGGUUGGAAAGUUUCGGCGGUUGGGGAUGGACUCGCGGCUUAUCAGCUUGUUGGUGGGGUAGUGGCUUACCAAGGCUUUGACGGGUAGCCGGCCUGAGAGGGUGAACGGCCACAUUGGGAAUGAGAUACGGACCAGACUGCUACGGGAGGCAGCAGUGGGGAAUAUUGCACAAUGGGCGGAAGCCUGAUGCAGCAACGCCGCGUGCGGGAUGACGGCCUUCGGGUUGUAAACCGCUUUCGCCUGUGACGAAGCGUGAGUGAAGGUAAUGGGUAAAGAAGCACCGGCUAACUACGUG